rnacentral:tRNA from 1 species
GGAGGGGUCGCAUAGUGGUCGAGUGCGGGCGCCUGCUAAGCGCUUGCCGGCGAUUGUAGCCGGCCGAGGGUUCGAAUCCCUCCCCCUCCGCCA